UUGCAAGUCACGUGUUGGUUGGUGUUUACGGGGUUGGGCUUGUAUUGUGAAGAUACAUUCCAAAACUUGACUAUAAAUACAGUAACAGUACCAGACAACAUUACUGUGGAUGAAAAAAACUCAAGGCAGCAUGACUACAGACCUGGCAAGAUCCUGGUACCCAGCACCGCCUGUAGUAUUGGGACCCAGGCAGUGUGUGAAAGGAGACCCCAAAGACACGGUGCCUGUUCCCUACCAUGAGCCGUUGAAAAAGUCCACUCACACCUUUCUCCAGGUUCAAGAGCCGGUGUCACCAGGUCCUGAAUGCCUUCUUGUGAAUAUCUUUAAUGUCUCUAAAGGAGUCAAGGUUCCUGUGACCGUGGAGAGUAUCGAUACUAUCGGGAAACUGCAGCAGGAGGCCCUGAAGCUGAAACCAGAACUCGGAGCGAACCUGAAUCUGAUCUACAAUGGCAAACCGGUUCAGCUGCACCAGACGCUGUCGGAGCUUCAAGUGAAGCCUGGAGCCACGUUCAUCACCUACCAGAAAUGCCACGGAGGUUAACCAGGAUGUAGACACAUCACAUUUUUUUUCCUCUGUUUAUCUGUACUUUAUUCUUAAAUCUCACUGUAAAUGUACUUUAUUCACAAACUUUUAGAUUCUUUACCGUUAGCUGAUAUGAUGUCAUACAUCAAUCGAAGGUUUGAAUGUACAUGACGCAGUUUAAUCAUCAUUAACGCAACAAGCCCUGUUGAUACGAACGUAAAUAAAAGUGAAACAAAUUUAACAGAAGUCGAAGCUGCAAGAAGACAUGAAUAUUAAUUGUGUUUUAAGUGUUUUGUUUAACCUGAUGGAACAAAGAUGUACUUUUUUCUUUCUUGUUAUACUUUAAGUUCUUUAAGAAUUCAACCGAAAGAGUUUGUGACGAAGGAAAAUACUCAAAUUAAAAUGUCAUCAAAAUGUAUUUUUAAAUGAACUGUAAAUUUGCACUUUUCUUAUGUAAAUUUGACUUCUAGUUUAAUAAAAAAUACUUUUCAACCACUGGUAAUAAAUUGUAUUAUGCAUUCUUUAUUUUUUCAAUGCUAUUUUAUUAUGAAGAGCAUCAUGAGCUUCAAUGGAAGCAGGACAUCUGUAUACCGUCUGUAUAAGAGUCACAUGAUCAGUAUCAGCAAGAAAAAGAGCAGAAUCUUAACUAUAUCCUCUUUUUUGCCAUUAUGUUUAGUUUUAUGAGUUUAUUAACGGUACAGUUAUUAAACAGUUAUUUUAUUUUUAUUUUUUUUGCACAUACAAAUGUCCAUCUAUCCAUUUUUCCUAAUUGCUUGCCAUAGGGUUGCGGGACAUGAAUGUUUCUUACUAAAAGAUGGAAGGUAGACUGGUAGCUAUUCUGUGAGUUAUGAAGGGGAAAAAAAAGUCAUUUGCCCCCCAAAACUCCACAGUCAGCAAGGGAACUUCUUCCUGUAGGACAUGGGCUGUCAUUCACAACAGUGAUAUUAUAAUCUCAGUGAAACUGAAAUUCAUGUAUCAGCUGUCAUGUAGAUCCUUAAUCAAAAUCAGGAAGAGCUUUAAUCGCCAAGUGUGUUUGCACGCAAGGAUUUUUUCUUGGUACUGAAGCUUCCAGUGCACAUAUGCAAAUACAAAUAAAACAGUAAUACAAAUUUAAGAAUAAAAAAAAAAAUAUAUAUAUAUAUAUAUAUAUAUAUAUAUAAAAAAGUAUAAAGACAGGUUUAGUCAUAACAAACAUUUACAGAUUAUGAACAUAUGUACAGUAUUAUGAAUAAAUAUCAGCUGAGUUUAGUGUUUAGUUAUCAACUGAAUCACCAGAUAUAACACAAAUGAAGUACAGCACAUAAAAGAAAAGCAAAUGAAUUUUUGGCAGGCAUUUCCUGUAAGUCGUGUGGUGGUUGCUGUUUGCGGGGUUGGGCAUGUAUUGUCAACAAGCUCUGCUGUGAAGAUAGGUACAUUCCAAAACUUGACCAUAAAUACAGUGGCAGCACCAGACAACAUUACUGUGGAUGAAAGCAACUCAAGGCAGCAUGACUACAGACGUUUACCCAGCACCGCCUGUAGCAUUGGGACCCACGCAGUGUGUGAAAGGAGACCCCAAAGACACGGUGCCUGUUCCCUACCAUGAGCCGUUGAAAAAGUCCACUCACACCGUUCUCCAGGCUCAAGGACCGGUUUCACCAGGUCCUGAACGCCUUCUUGUGAAUAUCUUUAAUGGCUCUAAAGGAAUCAAGGUUUCUGUGACCGUGAGGAGCACCGAUACUAUCGGGAAGCUGCAGCAGAAGGCCCUGAAGCGGAAACCAGAACUCGGAGGCUGUGUGAAUCUGCUCUACAAUGGCAAACCGGUUCAGCAGCACAAGACAAUGUCUGAGCUCCAAGUGAAACCUGGAGCCACGUUCAUCACCUACCAGAAAUGCCAUGGAGGUUAAAAAAAGACUUUUCUUGUCUUCUCAUUUCUGUUUACUUUUAAUUCACAUUAUUAUUCACUAUUAUUCUUAUAUUAUAAUGUGCCAUGUGUCAUACAGUAUAUCAGUCAAAGACACAUUUUACUGAAAUUGCAUCUAAUGAUGUAAGAUACUAAUAAACUUUUGACCUACUUUAUACUUGAAUUAUGCGUAAAUGACACUGUCAUGUCUUCUGCACGCUGUAAUUUCAUUGUUUUGAUCAAUUUACUCUUAACAUAAAUUUGAAAAAUAGCAAAAAUAAAGAAUGAGAAACGCACAGAUAAAUCCAUGCUAAAUUGUUACUGUAUAACUAAAAUAUUUAUAGUUAAAACUUUCAGUACAAAGCUGUGUAAAAUGUUUUUUUUUUUUUUGUGUUGCUUCUAAAUAACAAUACAACCAGCCUAGUCCAUGCAAAUGAAAGUAAAAGCAAACAAACUAAUAAAACUGAAAGCAAACGUG